GAUGAACGCUGGCGGCGUGCUUAACACAUGCAAGUCGAACGGUGAAGCAGGAGCUUGCUCUUGUGGAUCAGUGGCGAACGGGUGAGUAACACGUGAGCAACCUGCCCCUGACUCUGGGAUAAGCGCUGGAGACGGCGUCUAAUACUGGAUAUGUGAUGUGACCGCAUGGUCUGCAUCUGGAAAGAAUUUCGGUUGGGGAUGGGCUCGCGGCCUAUCAGCUUGUUGGUGAGGUAAUGGCUCACCAAGGCGUCGACGGGUAGCCGGCCUGAGAGGGUGACCGGCCACACUGGGACUGAGACACGGCCCAGACUCCUACGGGAGGCAGCAGUGGGGAAUAUUGCACAAUGGGCGGAAGCCUGAUGCAGCAACGCCGCGUGAGGGAUGACGGCCUUCGGGUUGUAAACCUCUUUUAGCAGGGAAGAAGCGAAAGUGAUGGUACCUGCAGAAAAAGCACCGGCUAACUACGUGCCAGCAGCCGCAGUAA
rnacentral:rRNA from 1 species